GGUGUCACUCAAGUGGUAGAGUGCCUGCUUAGCACGCAAGAGGCCCUGGGUUCAAUCCCCAGUACC
rnacentral:tRNA from 1 species